AUUGAACGCUGGCGGCAGGCCUAACACAUGCAAGUCGAGCGAGCGGCGGACGGGGGAGUAAUGUAUGGGGAUCUGCGCGAUAGAGGGGGGUAACUCCUCGAAACGGUGGCUAUUAUCGCAUACUAUCGCAUGAAUCCCUAUGGGAUUGGCUAGUAGGUGGGGUAAAGGCUCACCUAGGCGACGCUCUCUAGCUGGUCUGAGAGGAUGAUCAGCCACACUGGGACUGAGACACGGCCCAGACUCCUACGGGAGGCAGCAGUGGGGAAUAGUGCACAAUGGGCGCAAGCCUGAUGCAGCCAUGCCGCGUGUAUGAAGAAGGCCUUAGGGUUGUAAAGUACUUUCAGCGGGGAGGCGUUACCCGCAGAAGAAGCACCGGCUAACUCCGUGCCAGCAGCCGCGGUAAUAC
rnacentral:rRNA from 1 species